rnacentral:lncRNA from 1 species
AUACUGGCCUCUUUCUUAUCGAGAUGGCUGGUGUACAUGCCUCUGUCAGAGGACAUUAACCUUGCCUCUUUCAUCCUGACAGUGGUGAUUAGCGCGCCGGGCUGAUCCCGCCAUUGAUGUGGCCGCAGCGGGCCAAUGAGGUCUGAAGAGGACCGAUGGAAAAAGAGCGAGCUGAUUAUUGGUGGGUCGGUGGACAAUCUGCUGACUGCUGGAAGAUGCCGGGCGAUAGUGUUUCAGAGCCGGGUGUAAUUACCUUGGAGGAGAUGAGAGUGAACCUGGAGAGGCAGAAGGGCUGAGAGAGAAACAAUGAUGGAGAGAAAAAGAGUGAACUGUGGCAGGACCGAGGAGGAGAAGGUGAGCAGCGGUGGAGUGGAGGAUGAGAAAAGAAUAUGCAGGAAAUAAACGUCAAGGAAAGAUUUUAGAAAAAAUACAUAUUUAUUUUUUAUAACGGAGCUUACAGGAGGGGAAAUUACAGGAAAUUAACACUACUUUAUACAUGUACUGUUAAAGUCUGAAUUAUUAGCCCCCUCACUGUAAAAAAUGGCCGUGAUUUCAACAGUAAAAAGCUGUAAAUAUGCUACAGUAAAACUCCGUAACCUGGUUAACAGUAUGUUUCCUUAAUAUACAUGGUGAAUAACCCUUCAUGGGAAUUCCCUUCAUGGCACAUCACUUUUUAUGCUUUUUUUACAUUAAUAUGGAUCUUUUUAGUUGUUUCCCCAUCAGUUAUGUACAUUAGAGAUUUAUGUUAUGUCUAAUGUUGAUAAACAAUGUUUAUUUCCUGACUUUAAUUUUUUGCGUGUUACCAUACUGGUGUUUAGUAGCUGUGUGAAUGACACUGAGCACCUUCUAUAAACAGAUACGCUAUUCUGCUCGUGGGAAAAGUUUUUUUGUGAUGAGCAUUGGUUCAUUAUGUAACUUUCUUAUCACCACCUGCAUAUGGCUGUGUUAACGUAUCUAUAUGUGUAACAAAAGAUGUGUACUGUAGAUGUUGGUAAUUUAAAAUACAGACAUAUUACAUAAAUAAAUGAAAUACGGUAGUUUACUGUAAACAACUGUUUUAACAGUACUGCAGCUUU